AAAAAGUUUUAUUCUUGCUUGAAUGUUUAUUUUUUCUUUGUAUUAUAUGUAAGUUUUGUUGUGCUAAAUGUUCUUAUUGCAGUAAUUAAAUUUAAUUAUCAAUUAACUUUGGAAUUAGUAAUUGAAUUAAUAUCAGCAUAUUUCGUGCCAGCAGCUGCGGUUAUACGAUUGAUGUAAAUGAAUAUUUUUGGUUAUUAGCAGUUAAUUUUAUUUUGAGUUAAUUUUAAAUUUUUUAGGGUGAAAUUUAAAUUUUUAAUAUUACUCUUAUUAUGAACCUGUGAGACUUAAAUAAUAAACUAGGAUUAGAUACCCUAUUAUAUUAAGUGUUAAAUAUUGUUUACCUGAGUAGUAUUAGUUAAUUUCUUGAAACUUAAAGAAUUUGGCGGUAUCUUAUCCCAUUCAGAGGAGCCUACCCCGUAAUUGAUAAUACACGAUUAACUUUACUUAAUUUAUUAGUUUGUAUAUCUCCGUUAUCAGAAAAUUUUUUUAGAGUUAUAAUUUUCUUUAUUUUUAAUUAUAAAAUAUUUCAGGUCAAGUUGCAGCUUAUAAUUAAGAGGAGGUGGGUUACAAUAGAUUUUUGUUUAUAUGGAUUUAAUAAUGCAAUAUUAUUAAUGAAGGUGGAUUUGAUAGUAAUUUAAUUAAUUAAAUUUGUUUGAUAUUGGCUCUAUAGAUUUUUGUUUAUAUGGAUUUAAUAAUGCAAUAUUAUUAAUGAAGGUGGAUUUGAUAGUAAUUUAAUUAAUUAAAUUUGUUUGAUAUUGGCUCUAAGGUGUGUACAUAUCGCCCGUCGCUCUCAUUAUUGAAUAUAAAUUAUAUUUAAUAAGUUGAGAUAAGUCGUAACAUAGUAGAUGUACUGGAAAGUGUAUCUAGUAAGUU
rnacentral:rRNA from 1 species